GACGAACGCUGGCGGCGUGCCUAAUACAUGCAAGUAGAACGCACAGUUUAUACCGUAGCUUGCUACACCAUAGACUGUGAGUUGCGAACGGGUGAGUAACGCGUAGGUAACCUGCCUGGUAGCGGGGGAUAACUAUUGGAAACGAUAGCUAAUACCGCAUAAUAUUGAUUAUUGCAUGAUAAUUGAUUGAAAGAUGCUAUUGAAUCACUACCAGAUGGACCUGCGUUGUAUUAGCUAGUAGGUGAGGUAACGGCUCACCUAGGCGACGAUACAUAGCCGACCUGAGAGGGUGAUCGGCCACACUGGGACUGAGACACGGCCCAGACUCCUACGGGAGGCAGCAGUAGGGAAUCUUCGGCAAUGGACGAAAGUCUGACCGAGCAACGCCGCGUGAGUGAAGAAGGUUUUCGGAUCGUAAAGCUCUGUUGUAAGAGAAGAACGGGUGUGAGAGUGGAAAGUUCACACUGUGACGGUAUCUUACCAGAAAGGGACGGCUAACUACGUG
rnacentral:rRNA from 1 species